GAUGAACGCUGGCGGCGUGCCUAAUACAUGCAAGUCGAGCGAAUGGAUUAAGAGCUUGCUCUUAUGAAGUUAGCGGCGGACGGGUGAGUAACACGUGGGUAACCUGCCCAUAAGACUGGGAUAACUCCGGGAAACCGGGGACUAAGACCGGAUAGGUAACAGGAUCACAUGAUCUUAUUAUUAAAGGUUAGAAACACUAGUAGAUGGGCUUAUGGUGCAUUAGUUAGUUGGUAAGGUAACGGCCUACCAAGACGAUGAUGCAUAGCCGGGCUGAGAGGCUGAACGGCCACAUUGGGACUGAGACACGGCCCAGACUCCUACGGGAGGCAGCAGUAGGGAAUUUUCGGCAAUGGGGGCAACCCUGACCGAGCAACGCCGCGUGAGUGAUGAAAGUCUUCGGAUUGUAAAGCUCUGUUAUAAGGGAAGAAUGUCCUUGAUAGAAUCGAGGAGUGACGGUACCUUAUCAGAAAGCUACGGCUAACUACGUGCCAGCCGCCGCCGUAA
rnacentral:rRNA from 1 species